CCUUCAGCUUGUCCUCUUGCUCUUCUUCUCCUCUUUUUCUUAAUCAUGUUUUUCAUGCAUAUACUUCAUUUCUUGGUCAUCCUUUUAAGCCCUGCACACAAAAUGGAAAUCAUUAGGAAUAUGCAUCAGAAGGCCGAGUCUAACACCAUAGAGGUGCACGCAUAAGCCGAUGCAAUCAGAGGGGAGGUUAACAAUUUAAAGGAGUCCCUAAGUAAAAUUUCCAUCAAGCUUGAGUGAAGGGGGGAGGAGCUUCAAGAGGUCAAUGCUAAGCUCUCGAAGGCCGAGCGGAGGGCUGAGGAAUGGGUCACCAAGGCCAAGCAGUGGGCCAGGGACCAGGUCGCCAAGGCCAAGCGACAGGCCGAGAGGAAGAUUGCCAAGGCCUGCUGAUCAAUCAUGGAGUCCUUCAAGGCUUCAGCAGAUUUCGAGUGAGAG
rnacentral:lncRNA from 1 species